CCUACGGGAGGCAGCAGUGGGGAAUAUUGCGCAAUGCUCGAAAGAGUGACGCAGCGACGCCGCGUGAAUGACGAAGGCCUUCGGGUCGUAAAGUUCUGUCGACAGGGAAGAAAAUGCAGAGAAGUAACGGUGAAUGGAUUGACGGUACCGGUAGAAGCAGCACCGGCUAACUCCGUGCCAGCAGCCGCGGUAAUACGGAGGGGGCGAGCGUUGUUCGGAGUGACUGGGCGUAAAGAGCACGUAGGCGGUGUGGUAAGUCAUUAGUGAAAGAAGAGCGCUCAACUUUAGUACGGCUUGUGAUACUUUCAUACUAGAGUAUCUGAGAGGAUUGCGGCAUUCCUGGUGUAGCGGUGAAAUCCGUAGAUAUCAGGAGGAAUACCGUUCGCGAAGGCGGCUAUCUGGCUGGAACCUGACGCUGAGGUGCGACAGCGUGGGUAGCAAACAGGAUUAGAUACCCGGGUAGUC
rnacentral:rRNA from 1 species